AGACAUCUCAAACAGGGCUUUUAAGAAGAAAGUAAAUGGAAAAGAACAAAAAACAAUCACAGUGAAAUUGCACUUUCUUUUACAGUAUGCAAAGAAUAAAUCAUAUAAUCAUGGCACUUUGCAUAUAUUUUGUAAUGUUCGUGUGUAUACAUUUACAUUCACCCAACAUCACAAAAAUACCAAAAAAUAAAUAAAAUGACCAAUAAAGAAAAAGAGAAAAACAAAGGAAGAGAGGAGAGGAUUGAGUCUCACAGGUAAUGGGCUUCCGUCCGUUAAGAAUUUGACUGGACCAUUAUGUGGUAGUAAAAAAAUUAGCCCAAAGCAACUCACAUAUACCAGAAACAAAAGAAAGAAACAUGAAUCUCAAAGAAGAAAUCUACGCAAAAAUCAACCGAUGUAAAAGGAGCUGGAAGGGGACGCAGCUCACAGGACGCAGCUCACAGGACGCAGCAGACCGAAAGAUGCAUCAGGAUGGACGGCCAACAAGAGCACCUGUAGGGUGUCGGGUCGGAGAUGCCAAAGGAGCCAGCGAUCCAUAGGAGCCGGAAAUGGCGCAGCUCCCGGGGUGUGCCGGAUCCGAAGCCACGCCGACCGGCCAUAGGUACUGGAAGGGGGCGCAGUUCUAAUGGUCGCCGAGUCAAAGCCGCCCCUGCGGCGGGUGGGUGGAUGGUCAAGACGGCUCGCACGCAGCCAAGCUCCUGGCCAGCGCACUACAGGAAGUAGCGGCCGUCGGGCACAACCAGGUGCCUCCAGGCCGCCUCCGAAGAGGGGCUGACCCGAAGCCGACCAGAGAGGAGGGAAGGGGGCGGAGCGAGGAGGGGGCGCCGGCCACCACGACGGGCUGGCCGGGGAGCACCACAACCGGCUGGGGAAGGCCUCAGAUCCAACCGGGAUAGACGGGGACGACACACCGGAGCCAGGGCGAGGCCACCCGCGGCAGCAGCAUGUCUGGGAAGAGGUCACAUGUUGGUGAUAAUUUUAUUCCUACAUAUUCUCGCAGCAACAUGCGGGUAGUAUCUAGUUGUCCUUAAGGCGAGGUGAAGAGCAGAGAAAAAUGACAAAACUGUACUCUCCACGCUCAGUUCAUCUACCUGAAUCCCAAAUCCUUGUUUCCUCUCCCAAAUCUCCUAUUAUG
rnacentral:lncRNA from 1 species